GAAGGCCAACUGAUCAACUGGUUCUUCGAUGAAAUACAUUUGUUACGCCUGGCUUCUGA
rnacentral:snoRNA from 1 species